AUGUGGAUGCUUUUGCUUCGCA
rnacentral:siRNA from 1 species